UUAAAGAUACACGUUUUUCCUUGACUGGACCGUUGGUGAGAGUGUUCUUGCUUUUGGGAUCCUCGCCUAUCUGUCGAACAUCAUAUGGAAUCAACCACUGUUGGCAAACUUUUUCGCUUACUUUGAUCCAGAACAACGCCUUGGUUCUCGCGAUAUCUUGUUCCUUAUCUGCUGUCCUGCUCACCGAAAAGGAGAUGUGAAACAAGAACUUGCAAUGGCUGGCUUAACAUUUUGCGAUGCCACUUCCACAAGAGCCAUGGUCCCUGGACAUGAUAUAGCGUUUGUAUUUGUGUCAGGAGGAGUUACCCCGGCUUUUCCAGAACGCAUAAGAGAUAUUUAUUUGAGAUUUGAUGGCAAGGAACCAGACAAGCGCCUUCUUCAAGUUCGUCUGAUUACGGACGAAGAAUAUUGUAACGUGGAGUUUCGUGACACCCCAGAUACUGGAAAAAACAAGAAUAUACUGUCAACACUGAGCUUUAAAUUCUCUUUCUCGAGCAGUGAUCGUCAGGUAAGCCAUCUUUUCAUAUUACUUAGUGAGGUAAACUGGAAGAACUGAGGUUUCUUUGUAGUUCCAUUACCCUGUAGCUUUACAACAGGCCUUAUUGGGGCGCUCAUUGUAAUUUUUAGUAACAACUCGCGAGGGGAGAGAAAAAGAAAAAGAACACUUGGAGACACCCUGCGCUGACUAUCUUCCUCCCACAAAGACACCGACAAUUAACGACCAGUCAAAAGGUCUUAAAAUUACGUGCGGUAACUUGUAUCUUCAAAAUCAUUUCUCCUGAAUAUGCUGUGUAGAAAAAAAUGUAUCGUAGUGAUAAAUCACGGCGGCUUAUGCACGCAAGCCGAACUUUAUUGAAAUUAUUUUGGUGGAUUAUGAAGCAGUCCUAUUACUUUGUUUUCGAAAAAAGGAGUUCUUUCGAUAGCAAAUUUAGAGGAAACAACCCAUCAAGUUACUCACAUUUCGGAAUUUGGUAGUUUAGAUCAAAAUUAUUGCUGUUUGAAUAGUUGGUCUUACGUUUAUGUCUCAGGAAGCGUUUGUCGCUGCUAAAAGUGAUGAAAGUCGUUGAAUUUUCUGUAACUAAUUACAACAAUAAUCGUGAUACACACUGAGUAAACGAAAAGGGAAGUUUCUGUUUUUUCUUGCGGCGCUUCGGACCGAAGGCUCUGAUCGAUAAAAUGUAAAAACCAUUGAUAAUUACGCUACCGAAACCCCUCUGCAAAGGACACGCCUUUGUUAUUUACGUAAUGAGAUUUACCCACUGAAGAAGCGCGAAGUAAAUUCGGUUGACAAGCUGGUCUAAGAACCUAACAGCCAAUCGAAUGGUGUCCAUCGCUUUUUCCACGUACAGUAUGAGGAAAAUGAUACGUCGUAGCAGGUGCCGCGUAUCAUGUUUUUUGACGUGUGAGCCGUAACAUGUAACAAGGUGAUUUUAUUCAGCUGGCAGUAUUUCAUUUUUUUUAAGAAAUGUUCAGCUUUCCGGCGCAAGUGGUGAGCUUAAAGACAUGAAUGAGAACAGGUUUGUUGAUCACGUGACUAUACUUCGGUCAACGAUUAGGUGGAAAGUCUCGAAAACAAGAACACGAAUUGGAGAACGAAACGAGAUGUAAAAUUACUGGAAACGUUUUUGCAAUUGAGAAACGAAAAGAGAGACGAGUGAGAAGUUCAAAACAGAGAGCCUGGAGAAUGAAACGAGCACCUUGCGGACUUUAUUCGCUCUGUGAGACGUAAAGACGGAGAGGAUUACGAAUUUUCAAGUUUGAGAUGCGUUGUUUCACGUAUCGAGAGACCUUUGAAGAAAAAUAAUUACACUAAGAGUAUCAUUAACGAUAAACUGAAGAAUUUGAAUUGAGUAGGAAAUGUCACCAGGCUAAGCAAAAAGAGCUGAAGAAAGCAAGCUGAGGGAACAAAGACAAAGCUGCUGUGGCAAUCACUGACGGACAAGUCGAUAAACUUUACGAAACUAAUAUGUUUGAAGUUUCUUACGCUGAGUCUUUUUUGAAUGACACUGUUUGGCCCAACAACACCUUUCAUUUUGGAAUGCGUUGUUGUCAAGAGCAUAGGAAUUUGUGCUGGAGAGAUGUAAAGCUUUGUAAGGAAUCACAAGGUAACGAAUAUAUAGUUUAUAAUGAAAGAGAGACAAAAACAAAUUCUGGAGUAGACGCCUCAGACUUUCGAAAAGUUUUCCCGAAAAUGUUUUCAGUUGGUGAUGAGCGAGAUCCUGUGGUAGCGUACAAAAUUUACCGUGAAAAGCGACUGGAAAACAUGAUGGCUGACGAUGCGCCAUUUUAUUUGGGAAUACCCCACACGAAAAGAGACGGCUCCAAAGAACACUGAUCCAAUUCGGCACCUAUGGGUGUCAGUAAAUUAAACACUCUUAUGGAAACAAGGGCUUCAAAAGCAAACAUCAACAACGAGCGACUCACCAACCAUAGUGCUCGUGAGGACAUGAUUCAAAAAACACAAUGUCAGUGAAAUUCCGCCAGCGCAUGUACAAAUAACGUGCAAAGCAUAACAAACUAUAGUAGCUUGAACCUAAAAAAAAAAAAACAUAUCGAGCAUCUUAAGCCGGGCAUCAUCUCAAACACAAACUAUUGCAACCAACGAAACUGCCGCUGCAAGCGCUAGUAAAACCCCGAUGAGUUUGUUCGAUGGAGCAGUAAUAAGUGGAGGAUAAUUUACGAUUUCCAAUAAUGCCUUUGCUACCUCGCCGAUCAUUCAAACCAGGAGUUCUGUCACCGAGACCACCGAAAAAAAGGGUGGAAGAGAAUUGAGGAGUCCGACUCAGAUUACAGUUUGGAAAUAAUAUUUUAACUUUCUUUGCUUGCUUUAAUGUCAAAUGUCAAAUUUCUGGCAGAAAUUUAAGCUUAAUAAAUAUGUUUAAUAUUCGCCCCGCACGCACGCAAGUUUUUGAGUUGAAGUAUUGUAGGAGAGUUCUGUCUUUAUUUUCAUCAAAGACGAUAAAAGAAUUCUCAGUAUGUAUAUAUAGUAAACACAAUACCACAUGGAAAGUGCAUGUAUUUACGCACUUAUUUUUGCAUCAGAGAUCUCAAUCGUUCGCUCUGUUCGCUGUGCUCACUCGUUCGAUUUCAGAUAUGUCAUCAACUCGUGCGUAAAUAUCAAACGUUCACAUUUUCCAGGAAGUAUUCUCUAUUUAUUUGCCACUACUGUUUCUAUACAUUAUCGUUGUUCUUCCUUUAUCAUCUGAAUACGAGAAUAACUCCAGGUGAGAUUCUAUAAUUCUAUGACAACUUUAUUGUAAUAAUACUAAGUGUUUGACAGAAUUAUUGUUAUUGUAAUUGGGUGAUAGAGGGAGGAACUUAAUCCCCAUAUUAACUAUACCCCAUAUUAUAACUACUAUAUACUAAAUUACGUACAUCUAUACAAUACCAUAACAAAACAUACAUACAUAGAAAUUCAUAAAACACGCUAUAAAUAUAUUAUGUAUAUGAUACAAAUCUAAUACAAUCUAAUAAAAAAAUCAAUGAAAAGGACAUGUAUGAUGCUUAAUCAAAUACAAAUUAUCUGAAAUAGACUUUUUUAGAGCUUUCUUAAAACUAUCUAGGGAUUCUUGAUCUACAACAGAUGACGGUAGCUUAUUCAAACAGUCUAUAUAUCUGUCCCAGAAAGAGUAUUUAAAUAUAUCAUUGCGAAGUUUCUAGAUUUCCUUUUACUGAAGGACGUAGAGGCAUUAAUGAACUUUAAAAAAAAAAACUCCUCCUCCGGCCUCAGCGCCAAAUGUUUUACAAGACAACAUAAACCGUCUAACAUAAAUGAGAAUAAGAAUUCUCGUGAACAUUUGGAAAAGAGAGAACAGUAGGGUGUUUGCAUGUGCUAAUUUUCUUUUUCUCUCCCAUCGCGUGCCCUGCACGUUGUCCCAAAAGCUGCACUGAGCACCUCAAUAACACCUGUUUUGUAGGCUAAUUACCCGACAGAAAGACAAGGGCAGAUUCUGUGGAUUGGGUUGUGCGGCUGGCCACCGCCCCCUUUCUACCCUUACCUCCAUUCGUGAAAUU